ACUGAACAAUGAUAAGUGAAUGGAAUACAAUGCAACUAUUUUUAGUAUGAAUAGCUCUCGACAUAGGACUGCUGCUCGCUGCUUCCUGUCUGCCUCACCAUGGACUGUUCUCAGCCAUGCCCCUCUGCCGUGCCCCUCUGCCUUGGAGCCAGUGGACUAUGGACUGUGGACUGAAACCUCCACAAACUGUGAGUUAAAAGAAACCUUACCUCCUUU
rnacentral:lncRNA from 1 species